ensembl:snoRNA SNORA70 Small nucleolar RNA SNORA70
CUGCAGCCAAUGAAUCUGCCUGUGCUCUUUUCCCUGUGGUGGCCUGGCGUGCAACAGCCACCUCCUUGGUAGUGUAUGCCAUCUGUUGGAAAUAUUAAUUGCCCUAAAGGACCUUAAAGACAGCU